rnacentral:rRNA from 1 species
CCUACGGGUGGCAGCAGUGAGGAAUAUUGGUCAAUGGACGAGCGUCUGAACCAGCCAAGUAGCGUGAAGGCUGACUGCCCUAUGGGUUGUAAACUUCUUUUAUAUGGGAAUAAAAUGUUCCACGUGUGGGAUUUUGUAUGUACCAUAUGAAUAAGGAUCGGCUAACUCCGUGCCAGCAGCCGCGGUAAUACGGAGGAUCCGAGCGUUAUCCGGAUUUAUUGGGUUUAAAGGGAGCGUAGGUGGAUUGUUAAGUCAGUUGUGAAAGUUUGCGGCUCAACCGUAAAAUUGCAGUUGAAACUGGCAGUCUUGAGUACAGUAGAGGUGGGCGGAAUUCGGGGUGUAGCGGUGAAAUGCUGAGAGAUCACGAAGAACUCCGAUUGCGAAGGCAGUUCACUGGACUGCAACUGACACUGAGGCUCGAAAGUGUGGGUAUCAAACAGGAUUAGAUACCCCUGUAGUC